CAGGCCUAACACAUGCUAGUCGAACGAUAACCCAUUCUUCGGAUUGGGGGACAGUGGCGAACGGGUGAGUAACGCGUUGGUGACCUGCCCCGAACGUGAGGGACAACCACGGGAAACCGUGGCUAAUACCGCAUAUGCUCCAGCGGGUUAGAGGCCCCUCGAGUAAAUCUCUGGCGCUUCUGGAGGGGCCUGCGACCUAUCAUCUACUUGGUGGGGUAAUGGCCUGCCAAGGCUAAGACGGGUAAGGGGCGUGAGAGCGUGGCCCCCCACAAUGGAACUGAGACACGGUCCAUACUCCUACGGGAGGCAGCAUUGAGGGAUAUUGCGCAAUGGGGGAAACCCUGACGCAUCAACGCCGCGUGGGUGAUGAAGGCUCUCGGGUCGUAAAACCCUUCUCUGGGGAAAGAGAAAGGACGGUACCUCAAGAAUAAAUCCCGGCUAACUACGUGCCAACAGCCGCGGUAAU
rnacentral:rRNA from 1 species